rnacentral:rRNA from 1 species
GUUGACCUCGGAUCAGGUAGGGAUACCCGCUGAACUUAAGCAUAUCAAUAAGCGGAGGAAAAGAAACCAACC